rnacentral:rRNA from 1 species
UUUUGCCCGCUUUAUUAGUUAAAGGUAACCCCCCCGUAAACCGGGGAACCCGUCUUUCAAACCGGUUAAACCAGUUCCGGGAAGGAAAACGGCAAUACUACUUACGGGUAAAACCGUAGGAUUCCUGGGAAUCCCCGUAACCAAAGCCGAAUUCUUCGGGACCAGUCCUGGACCCUUGAAAUCCGAAAGCCUUGGGGACCAAACCAGGGAAUUAGAUACCCUGGUAAGUCCCACGCCCUAAACGGAUGAAUGUUAGUCUUUGGAGUGCUACCACUUCAGUGAUGCAGCUAACGCAUUAAACAUUCCGCCUGGGGAGUACGCCCGCAAGGUUAAAACUCAAAGGAAUAGACGGGGACCCGCACAAGUGUGGAGCAUGUGGUUUAAUUCGAAGAUACGCGAAGAACCUUACCUGGCCUUGACAUAUACCAGAACCUACCAGAGAUGGUGGGGUGCCUUCGGGAACUGGUAUACAGGUGCUGCACGGCUGUCGUCAGCUCGUGUCGUGAGAUGUUGGGUUAAGUCCCGCAACGAGCGCAACCCUCGUGACUAGUUACUAACAGCAUAGGCUGAGGACUCUAGUCAGACUGCCUUCGUAAGGAGGAGGAAGGUGGGGACGACGUCAAGUCAUCAUGGCCCUUACGGCCAGGGCGACACACGUGCUACAAUGGGGAGGACAAUGAGAAGCGAAAUCGCGAGAUGGAGCAAAUCUAUAAACCUUCUCUCAGUUCGGAUUGUAGUCUGCAACUCGACUACAUGAAGCUGGAAUCACUAGUAAUCGUGAAUCAGCCAUGUCACGGUGAAUACGUUCCCGGGUCUUGUACUCACCGCCCGUCACACCAUGGGAGUUGAUUUCACCCGAAGCGGGGAUGCUAAAUAGGCUACCCGCCACGGUGGAAUUAGCGACUGGGGUGAAGCUCGUAACAAGGUAACCGUAGGAGAACCUGCGGCUG